rfam:Firmicutes bacterium CAG:41 genomic scaffold, scf41
UCUAUGGAGUGUCAUAACAAAUGAAAGUAGCUACGGCAAAAUCAGAUACGUUGAAGUAGAAA